CCAGCUCUUCCUUGCUCCCUCCUCAUCACCACCCCCCGGCUCCCUCACAGCCCUUCUCCUCGGCGCUGAGCCCCCCAAACCCCUCACAGACGGGACGGGGGCUGCCCCCUGUGCUCCUCCGGUGGCUUCUGGAGCCAGCCCCGCCGUGUCGGGGCCGCGGCAUUAUGCAGGGGGACCGCGGGCACUGCCGGCUCCGCCUGUGAAUUAGUUCUGCACAGAACCACUUAAUACAUCUCUCCCAGAAUUAAAUGUGCGCGGAGAGCUGCCAUAGGGCAAGCCACCAGGUGGUUUAAUUUCUUUUUUAGAAGACAUUAGCAGAACUCGAUAAAGGGUCAAGUAAUUUCAUCCAAGUUGCCACUAGUUAGUUAAGAGAAAGCGACAGGACCGCGGACUGACAUUGUUACAUUUCCGCAAAUAUAUUUUAUAAAACGGGAGUUUAAAAUUUCAUUUUUUUUGCAGAAAGAGUGAUUGCCCGAGGAACGCUUCUUAGCUUUAAAAGAUUACCUCGCCGGUAGCUAAAUAGGGCGUUUUGAUUAAUAUUUGCUAUUUGGCGAGCGGGCUGAGCCCUGAAAUGAGAUGGUUACUUUUUCGACAGGAGUGACUUUGGUGCGGGGCGCGCGCGGCUCCCCGGGCGGCGGCGCGGGCAGUAAUUCCAGCGAAUUGUGAGCGGACAGUGAGCCCGCGGGGAGCGCUGGCAAUCAUGGCGGAAACAAUGUUUACAUCGAUCAGCUGUCACGGAAACACUUUCUCCGGCUCAAGACGGUGGCCAGGCCCUCAGAAACUUGGAAAUGAGAAUUUGAGGUUGGAGAGCAGUCAGGGAGCCUGCGGUGCCGGGGUGCCUCCUCGUCCUGUGUGCCACUGGACCGCGGCAAAACGCCGUGUCACGAAGUGUGCUCUGUCUGUCCUGUGACCCAUGUUACGAUGAUUGAUUAAAAGGGAAAUCCUGACCUCCCGAACUGGGAAGCUUGUGUAACAGCCUCCCGUGCAGCUCCGGUUGCCAGUUUUCUCUACCAUUUUUAGAGCA
rnacentral:lncRNA from 1 species